rnacentral:rRNA from 1 species
AUGGCGGCCUCGAUUGGGUGGCUGGUUGAGACCAUCUCUGCAACCCUCAAGAUCGAUAAGCUCGAUGCCUGGAUUCGGCAAGUCGGACUUGCCGAUGACAUCCAGAAGAUCAAGUCGGAGAUCUGGAAAGUCCAGACAGUGGUCACUACUCUACUGCCAAGAGUACGGGGGUCGCAAACGAGCUUCUGGAUGAAGCUUUCGCUCUUCUCGAAGAGCGGCUCUAUGAAGCCGACGAUCUUGUCGACGAGCUCGACUACUACAGGCUCCAACACCAAGUCCAAGGUCUGCCUGCCCCUGCAGAUCCAAGCGAGCUACUCCGAAGAGUUACAAGGGGUGAGCCCGAAGCAUUUGGAGAAUGAGCAUUCUGUGACUUGUGCAAAGAAACCUCCUGGAGAACAUCCAGCAAACCCUUCAAGCACCGGUGAGCCUACUGUAAUUGGCAGCUCAUCCAGCAGAAAAGGAAAGAGACGACGGUCCAAGGCAUGGGAACUUUUUGAUGUCAUACAAGAAGUAAACGAACAGCCUAUGAAAGCAAGAUGUAAAUACUGUCCCACAGAGAUCAAGUGCGGACCAACGAGUGGGACAGCAGGUAUGCUCAACCAUAGCAAGAUUUGUAUACCUGGACUAAACAACCAGCCGCCAAACCCGUCAAGCACUAGUGAUGCUAAUGCAAAUGUGACGCCAAUUACUGCGGCUAACACGGUCACCCCUUGGGACAUGGCUGAAUUGUCCAACAAGAUUAAAAAAAUAGCUGGUCAGUUGCAAUACAUCGGAAGGGAAGUGGGUGAGAUUCUAAAGCUACAUGGAUCCGACUGUACUUCAAGUUCAGAUCAGCACCUCAGAACACCAAGUCUUGUUCCAAGGAAUGUGUAUGGAAGAGUUAAGGAAAAGGAACACAUCAUGAAAUUGAUGAUGACAGAAGGCAGAUCUGACAAAUUAAUUGUUGUGCCUAUUGUAGGCAUUGCAGGUGUUGGAAAGACAACUCUCACUCAACUUGUAUACAAUGAUGUAGAAGUGGAAAGGCAAUUUCACCAUAGAAUAUGGGUUUGGGUGUCUCGCAACUUUGAUGAAAUGAGGCUCACAAGAGAGAUGUUGAGCUUUGUUUCUCAAGAAAGACAUGAAGGAAUAGACUGCUUUGUGAAGCUUCAGGAGAUCUUGAAAAGUUAUGUUAAAUCAAAGAGGAUUUUACUUAUUUUAGAUGAUGUUUGGGAUGACAAGAACAAUUACCAGUGGAACCAACUAUUGGCUCCUUUUCGGCACGACAAUGCUAUUGGUAAUGUGAUUCUUGUGACAACUAGAAAAUUGUCUGUUGCAAAAAUGAUUGGAACAACAAGACCAAUUAAGUUAGGUGCAUUGGAAAAUGAUGACUUCGAGUUAUUGUUCAAAUCAUGUGCAUUAGGUGAUGGAAACUAUGAAUUUCCUGGAAAUUUUAGCACAAUUGGGCAGCACAUAAUAGAGAAGUUAAAGGGCAACCCCUUAGCAGCAAUAACUACUGGGUCGCUAUUAAGGGAUCAUCUUACCGCUGAUCAUUGGAGUAACAUUCUCAAGAAAGAAAGUUGGAAGUCACUGGGAGGAUUUGUGAAUUGCACCCAAAAUAAGAGAUUGGAGGAUACAGGGUGGGAAUAUCUGAAUCAAUUGGUAAACCUGGGAUUCUUUCAACAAAUUGAAGAACAACAAGAAUUGGAUGAGGAAGAAGAAUUCUCUCUAUGCCGUCAGAUUUGGUACUCUAUGUGUGAUCUCAUGCAUGAUUUUGCGAGGAUGGUUUCAAGGACCAAAUUAUUAGAUGUUGGAUCAAGCAUGGAUACUUCUCUACCCAAUGGCUUGUUGCAUAAUCUUGUUAGCCUGCGACAUCUAGUUGCACACAAGAGAGUCCAUUCUUCCAUUACUAGCAUUGGUAACAUGACAUCUAUCCAGGAGCUACAUGAUUUUAAGGUUCGAAUUUCUGGUGGCUUUGAGAUAACACAACUCAAAUACAUGAACGAGCUUGUUCAACUUGGGGUGUCUCAGCUUGACAGUGUUAAAACCCGGGAGGAGGCUUAUGGAGCAGGAUUAAGAAACAAGGAACACUUAGAAGAGCUUCACUUGUCCUGGAAGGAUGCAUAUUCAGAGUAUGAGUUUGUCAGUGACACUAGAUUUGAAUCUUCUGCAAACAUGGCAAGAGAAGUGAUUGAGGGUCUUGAACCAUACAUGGAUUUAAAACAUCUACAAAUAUCUUGGUAUAAUGGUACCACUUCACCAGCUUGGCUUGCCAACAAUAUCUCAGUUACCUCAUUGCAGUCGCUUCAUCUUAAUUAUUGUGGAACAUGGAGAACACUUCCAUCUCUGGGAAGUCUUCCAUUUCUUACAAAGCUGAAGUUGAGCAACAUGUGGGAAGUAAAAGAAGUAUUGAUUCCUUCACUGGAGGAGCUAGUUUUGAUCGACAUGCCUAAGUUAGUGAGAUGCUCAAGCACUUCUGUCGAGGGUCUGUGCUCCAGCUUAAGGGUACUGCAGAUCAAAUAUUGUAAAGCAUUGAAGGAGUUUGAUCUGUUUGAUAACGAUGAUAAUUCUGGAAUCACUCAGGGAUCAUGGCUGCCCGGUCUUAGGAAUUUGAUUCUGGAUUAUUACCCUCAUUUGGAAGUGUUGAAGCCUCUUCCACCUUCAACUACCUGUUGUAAGGUACUCAUCAGAGAAGUUCCAAGAUUUCCGUAUAUGGAGGUAUCAUCUGGAGAAAAGUUAGAAAUUGGGAAUACUUAUGGCUACAGAGGCGAUGGUUUUGAUGAAUCUUCUGAUGAAUUGAGGAUACUGGAUGACAAAACUUUGGCAUUCCAUAACCUUGGAAACCUCAAAUUGAUGGAGAUAUAUGGUUGCAGAAAUCUAAGGUCUUUUUCGUUCGAAGGUUUUAGUCAUCUUGUCUCUUUAGCAAGUUUGACAAUAGUAGACUGCGAACAACUUUUCCCUUCAGAUGUGUCGCCAGAGUAUACCCUUGAGGAUGUGACAGCUAUGAACUGCAAUGCCUUCCCAUCUCUUAAAAGUCUCAGUAUUCAGUCAUGUGGAAUAGCGGGGAAGUGGCUAUCGUUGAUGCUGCAACAUGCGCCAGGCCUAGAGAAAUUGGCUUUAGCAAAUUGCGCCCAUAUAACAACAUCACUCAAGAUGAUUGAUAUUUGGGACUGCCCCCGCCUAACAUUUAACGGGGCCAAGGAAUGCUUCUCUGGAUUUACCUCCCUUGAGAAGCUAGUCAUUCGAGGCUGCCCCGACCUGUUCUCGUCAUUGGUACAUAAAGACGUAACAGAUGACCAGGCAAGCGGAAGAUGGCUCCUCCCGAAAUCACUUCAGGAACUUGAGAUCGUUGAAUAUUCCCAAGAAAAGCUGCAGCUCUGCUUCCCUAGAGAUAUCACAAGCCUUAAAAAGUUAAAUGUAUAUCACAGCCCAGGUUUGCAAUCUCUACGGCUGCACUCAUGCACGGCACUGGAAGAAUUGGAGAUUAGAUGCUGUGGAUCGCUCACCGUCACUGAACUAGAAGGCAUACAACCCCUUGGCAGCCUCGGGCGUUUGAAUGUAUCAGACUGUCCUGGCUUGCCACCAUGUUUGGAGAGCUUUUCAACGCUGUGCCCUCGGCUGGAAAGGCUUGAGAUCGAUGACCCAUCUGUCCUUACCACGUCAUUCUGCAAGCACCUCACCUCCCUGCAAAGACUACAUCUUGGUCCCAUGAAAAUGACGAGACUCACAGAUGAGCAAGAGCGGGCGCUUGUGCUGCUGAAGUCCCUGCAAGAGCUCGAAUUCAAUCGGUGUCGUGAUCUCGUAGAUCUUCCUGGGGGCCUGCACAACCUUCCUUCCCUCAAGAGGUUAAAGAUAUGGGAUUGUCUGGGCAUCUCAAGGCUGCCGGAAGCAGGUCUCCCAUUUUCACUGGAAGAACUGGAAAUCAAUCAUUGCAGCAAGGAACUAGCUGACCAAUGCAGUCUGCUAGAAACAAGCAAGCGAAAAUGUGCUCAUUCCAGAAUGAGCUGUCUCUGCAGGCAUUCAAUUAGGCUGCUCAACAUAUACUAUCAUGCAACAGCCAGACUCAGAAGUCAGGAUGGCCUCGGCAGACGCCUAAUUGUGUCUGUACUAUCCUAUCUUGGAUCUUCACAGAAUUUUGCUACUGGUCUGGACUCAUUCUGUCAGUGGUUGUUUGCUUUGUGGACUUGUGCUCGUGGUCUCUGUUUUUUCAAGCUGAUCCUGAAGCUUGCUGGAGCCUACUUCCUGAGCUGGCCGGCCUGUGAAUGUGCUGUUAAAACAAGCUCCUCUGCAAUGCAAGAACUUCAUCAGUUCAUGGAGAAUAAACAGGGAGCUCGACAGUACCGCAGGAUGACGAGGAGCCACUGCCCACCAGAGAUUGGUAAGUUGCGGUUGGAUCUGGCCACAGCGCCUCCGCAUCGGCGCCCAGAGGUUGGUCGGAUGGGGGAUGUUGGCGAGCUCGCCUGCGAGGCGUUCCCUGAGCGCACUGCCAUCACGGCGGGCCAGCCCCCGCUUGCAGGAACGUCGGGCAUCCCGGGCGGCGGCGUCUUGCAACUAUCGGCGCGUGGCGUGGGAGGGCAAGCCUGA